AAACAGAAGGCUCCAGGAGACAUACAAUCAACACUCCACUCAGACAAUGCCCAGACCUCCAGAAACCAUGUGUCAAGCUCGGAUUGCCUUAGACAGGUGCAAUUUAAGAACAGCUUUCAUCCUCUUUUCUCUCAUAUUGUCACACUAUGUGUUCUGACUUCUGGCUCCUUUCCUCACAAGAAGCUCACCCAGCUGGAACUCUUAUGGGACCUUGGCACCAGAGACCACAAAUUCCUCUUUGAAGUUUUCUAACAGCAACAAUGGUAUUUCUGACUUGGCUUUCUUGUAUUUCUCUCACGUUAACAAAAUUGGUUCAGCAUCUACCAUGGGCUACAUGCUGAGCUACAGAGUUUCGCUCUGUCGCCCAGGCUGGAGUGCAGUGGCGCGCGAUCUCGGUUCACUGCAAGCUCCACCUCCCGGGUUCACGCCAUUCUCCUGCCUCAGCCUCCUGAGUAGCUGGGACUACAGGCGCCCGCCACCACACCCAGGAACAAAACCCAUCAGAAGAUGUCAGAAGAUAAGGAUUUUUGUCCUGAUGCUACACUUACCAGCUGUCCCUCAGUGUUCUACUUCUUAAAAAAAGAGAGGAAAAACGGAGCCCGAGCAGCUAAGGAUCUUGCCCACGGUCACUGAAUUAGCAAUGCUUGUGAUGAACAUUCCCAAAGCUUUUAUGAGCUCUACGAUCUGGAAUAGGUCUCUUUGUGAUCUGUUCUCCUACUUGCUAAAUAUAUGAAAUAUUAAACUUCAUAAUCACAAAGUUUCUGUAUCCAUCUAAAAAUGCCAAAGAUUGCAUUGCUAUUUAUUGAGCGCCAAUGUUCAGAGAAUGUUGCUACCUAUUGUGGAUGCUAUAACAUGCAUGUAAGAAUUUGUCUCUUGUCUCAAGAGUGCUUACAGUUUAGUUGGAGAGACAUUUAUAUAGACACUUAUGAGACAUGUAAACCACUGACAUAGCCACUUGACAUGGCUGAAGUUCAAAUGUCAAAAGGAUAAGACAUGAACAGCAAUGUAUGCC
rnacentral:lncRNA from 1 species